rnacentral:lncRNA from 1 species
AUUAUAACUCAGCCGUAACGUAUGCAUAACUCAGCCGUAAAGUAUGCAUAAGUCAGCCGUAACGUUCCUUUAAAUCAACCGUCAAGUGUAAUUUGUUUCGCGACGUUUCGUAUUUUGGGCGGAAACAAAAUAUUUCCAUCAACUCUGAACACAAUAUUAAAACUUUAAUCUUUUCUUAAAUUUGAACCUCAAACCCUAAACUAACUCUACCAUAAUGUAUGCAUAACUCAACCAUAAUUUGAUUAUAACUCAGCCGUAACUUAUGCAUAACUCAGCCGUAAAGUAUGCACAACUCAGUCGUAACGUAUCUGAAUGGUAUAAGUCAUCCGUAACAUUCCUAUAAGUCAGACGUCAUGUGUAAUUGUUUCGCGACGUUUCGUAUUUUGGGCGGGAACAAAACUAUUCUUUCAACUCUGAACACAAUAUUAAAACUUUAAUUUUUUUUCUUAAAUUUGAACCUCAAACCCUAAACUAUAGAGUAACCAUAACUCAGCCAAAACAUAUGCAUAACUCAACCAUAAUUUGAUAAU